ensembl:lncRNA
CGGGCGCUUCCUAUCUUUAUGUGUCCGCCUAGACCUGGAACGGUGAGAAGAACACCGGAAACGAUCUUAGAGGCCUUGGUAGCUGCCAGACAAGUUAAACAACGAGAUGGAAGAGAUUUGCCUGCAAGUGGAACAGAACUGCCUAUGCUAACUCAAUUCCGACAUAUCCACUGUCUCACCAUAAACCACUGAAAAUGCUUUUCUAGAUAACCUUGAACAUAUGCCUCAAAUGAUGAUUUUGAUAUCAACUUGGAGUCUCACUGGACACGUGUCUGGUUUGGUAAAUUGAAGGUGGGAACAACUUAAUGACGUCAUAUCCAACGGUCAAACCGUUUUGGGAGACCGAUGGGCUAAAAUUAACAGGGCCGCACCUGCAGCACAUGGAGAGGUGGAAUUGGAGCUGUAGCUGCUGGCCUACACCACAGCUCAUGGCACGGCUUGAGAUCCUUAAUCCACUCAGCAAGGCUAGGGAUGGAACCUACGUCCUCAUGGAUGCUAGUCAGAUUUGUUAACCCCUGAGCCACUAUGGGAACUCCAGUAGCUUUUUUUUUUAAGGUGAUAAAACAUCGGUACAGCAUUUGAAGUGGAACUCGGAUAAACCUUUAUCAGAAAUGAAAAAAAGACAAAACAAUUAAGUAGAUCAUAGUUGAUUGCCAAUAAAUGCAGACUUUGAGCAUUGAGGUAGAAGGAUAGAUGUCUAUUCCUGCCCUGCCUGGGGAGUUAUGGCCCUUGAUGUUGUUGUAUCACAGCUCUUUGUGUGUGUGUGUGUGUGUUUUAUGUUAGAUUCAGAAAACCCAUUCUCUUUAAAUAAUCUGAUCUGUCCCUUAAGCUGAAAAGUUGUCUGAAUCAUUAGCAGCCCUUCUUAAUAACACUAAGUACAGUUGGUAUUAAAAAAAAAAUGAGGAGUUCCCGUUGUGGCUUAUUGGAUUCGUUUCCACUGCACCACAAUGGGAACUCUGUGUUUUCCACUUCGAUACUGGAGGUAAAAAGAUGGAGAAGGUAUUGAAAUUCCCUGAGUUCAUGAGGUUAAUUGUCAAAUGUAUGGUUUCUCUUGGGGAAACAGAUAAUAAAUAAACCAACAAAUAAUAUAACUGCCAAUAUGAUUGGUGCAGUAAAGAAAGGUGGAUAAUGUGAUAAAGAGUGACCCAGGGGUUUCCUUCACGGCGCAGUGGUUAACGAAUGCCACUAGGAAGCAUGAGGUUGCUGGUUCGAUCGCUGGCCUGAGACCAAAUAGACACUUGACUGUUCUGACUACAGCAGUGAGCUCAAGAAAUGUGUAUAAAUGACUCUUUGAAUUGGAGUAUUUAAAAUCUAAGAGACCAGGAACCACCCUAUUGUGUUGUCAUCUGUGACACUAGAACAAAGCAAUCAUUUGGCUAUUCUUCUAUCUCAUUCCCUGGAGGCCACUCAGAGCAGCCUUGGGCAGCAGUAAUAACACUCGCCUGCAGUGGGGAAGCAGCCAUAGAAGGUAGCAACACAGUCAAACAGCUAGAGAAGAGCUCCUCAGGACUUACCCACUGGCUCAGCUGGUUUAGGAUCCUGGCCUUAGUCUCUGUGGUGGCUCAGGUUCAGUCUGUGGCAUGGGAACGUCUUCAUGCUUUGGGUGUGGUCAAAAAAAAAGAGAGGGAGAGAGAGAGGAGAGCUUCCCAGGAUAAACAUCAGGAAAAAAAUUAUUUUUCAGGAGAUCUGAUUAUAUUCUCAGAAAUAUCCAUGAAGAAUAAGCUACUAGAGUUAACGAGAGAAUUUAGUGGCUGAAUGAAAGUAAAGAACUUAAUUUAUAAUUUUCCUCCAUCUAGGUAUUGUCUAGUUAGACUGGAAAUGGAAAAAAUAUCCUAUUCACAACAAUGACCAAAAGUCAAAAUAAAAACGAAACAAUCAUAGGAAGGAAAGCACAGGAUUUAUAGGAACAAAACUGAAAUUUUAUUAAAGGAUGUAAACCAAAAUCUAUAUUAAAAAGAUUCCAUGUUCCAUGAUAGGAAGACUUAAUAUUAGAAAAAUAUCAUUUCAUCUAAAAUUGAUAAUGCAAAUACAAUCAGAAUCCCACUGUGGGUGGUUUUACCCUCCUCU